rnacentral:lncRNA from 1 species
CACAAGCAAAACAAAGAACUUUAUUAUCUUCAAAAAAAAAAAAAAACGAUUAAAAGAUGAGAUCUCACACAACUCACUCUCACAACCUUUACAAGAAAGAACACAAAUUUACAAAUCCCCCAUAUAAAUUGCUCCCCUCCAAGCUUCAAAUCUCCAAGUUUUGAAUCCCUCAAAACUCCCUUAGACUAUUGCUUAAUGUGGCUUCUUACACCAUCAUGGGUUUAUAUAGUGUUACAAGGAAAAUUAGGGUUUACCACCUCAUGGGCUCAAAAUAGGCCCAUAGACACUUUAUCGUCCAGAGGCAAUAAAUCUAUCAGAACUGUUGUCCAAAGGCACUUUUCCUGUCGGAACUUCAAAUGCAGUUUCCAAGAAAACUACUGCGAACCAGAAGGCCUGCCAUAUACCAUUGGAAAUUUGAGAGAGUCCUCUUUUCCAACCCAAAAGACAGAUCACAAUUCCGAGCACCGAGCAGAAAGUUAUGACUAUUUUUCUACAACGUAUCAAAACCAAAAAUAACAAAAAAUUGAACAACAAAUAUGAAUCAUUUGGCGUUGAAGUGUGUGAAAGUUAAACGAUAUGUAGAUGGACAAGAUUAAUGUAGCUUUUGAUUUUUUGAGAGUUGUUAAGAUUCUCAACAAUGAAGAGGCUCCACACCAUGGUAUUACAGAGAUUUACUGACAGGCAACAAGAAGUUAAAAGGAAGAUUUCAAGUCUUUUCAGUCAGGCAUGCAUGUUUUCAGGAAAAUGAAUCAAGUUGUUGAUUAUUUGGCAGGACUCUCUAUAGGUGUUGAAGAUUAGUUAUUGUAUUCCAUAGACCCAGUAGAGCUGAAAAUGUUUGUAUGAAUUAUUGGUGAGAAAUAGAACCGGUGGAAAAAGAAGGGGAGGUGCCGAGGAAUAAUCCAACAAAAAAAUGUGAGGGUUUUUUGGUGAUAUGUUGGGUACCUCCAAGUCCACAAACGAGGAUAUGACAU